GAUGAAGAACGCAGCGAAAUGCGAUAAGUAGUGUGAAUUGCAGAAUUCAGUGAAUCAUCGAAUCUUUGAACGCACAUUGCGCCCGUCAGUAUUCUGGCGGGCAUGCCUGUUCGAGCGUCAUUACGCCCCUCAAGUCCCCUGUGGACUUGGUGUUGGGGAUCGGCGAGGCUGGUUUUCCAGCACAGCCGUCCCUUAAAUUAAUUGGCGGUCUCGCCGUGGCCCUCCUCUGCGCAGUAGUAAAACACUCGCAACAGGAGCCCGGCGCGGUCCACUGCCGUAAAACCCCCCAACUUUUUAUAGUUGACCUCGAAUCAGGUAGGACUACCCGCUGAACUUAAGCAUAUCAAAAGCGGAGGA
rnacentral:misc_RNA from 1 species